rnacentral:rRNA from 1 species
GCUUACACAUGCAAGUCGAACGAGAACGGAUUUUAGCUUGCUAAAAUUGUCAGCUAAGUGGCGCACGGGUGAGUAAUAUAUAGGUAACGUGCCUCUUACAAAAGAAUAACAGUUGGAAACGACUGCUAAUGCUUUAUAUGCCUUUAUCACAUAAGUGAGCAAGGGAAAGUUUUUUCGGUAAGAGAUCGGCCUGUACGGUAUCAGCUAGUUGGUGAGGUAAUGGCUCACCAAGGCAAUGACAUCUAACUGGUUUGAGAGGAUGAUCAGUCACACUGGAACUGAGACACGGUCCAGACUCCUACGGGAGGCAGCAGUGGGGAAUAUUGCACAAUGGAGGAAACUCUGAUGCAGCAACGCCGCGUGGAGGAUGACACAUUUCGGUGCGUAAACUCCUUUUAUAUAAGAAGAUAAUGACGGUAUUAUAUGAAUAAGCUCCGGCUAACUCCGUGCCAGCAGCCGCGGUAAUACGGGGGGAGCAAGCGUUACUCGGAAUCACUGGGCGUAAAGAGCAUGUAGGCUGGUAGAAAAGUUGGAAGUGAAAUCCUGUGGCUUAACCAUAGAACUGCUUCCAAAACUCUCUACCUAGAAUAUGGGAGAGGUAGAUGGAAUUUCUGGUGUAGGGGUAAAAUCCGUAGAGAUCAGAAGGAAUACCGAUUGCGAAGGCGAUCUACUGGAACAUUAUUGACGCUGAGAUGCGAAAGCGUGGGGAGCAAACAGGAUUAGAUACCCUGGUAGUCCACGCCCUAAACGAUGCACACUAGUUGUUGCGAUGCUAGACAUUGCAGUAAUGCAGUUAACACAUUAAGUGUGCCGCCUGGGGGAGUACGGUCGCAAGAUUAAAACUCAAAGGAAUAGACGGGGACCCGCACAAGCGGUGGAGCAUGUGGUUUAAUUCGACGAUACGCGAAGAACCUUACCUGGCCUUGACAUUGAUAGAACACUAUAGAGAUAUGGUGGUGCUAGUUUACUAGAACUUGAAAACAGGUGCUGCACGGCUGUCGUCAGCUCGUGUCGUGAGAUGUUGGGUUAAGUCCC